GAUGAACGCUGGCGGUAUGCUUAACACAUGCAAGUCGAACGGACUCUUCGGAGUUAGUGGCGGACGGGUGAGUAACGCGUGAGAAUCUGGCUUUGGGUUCGGGACAACCACUGGAAACGGUGGCUAAUACCGGAUGUGCCGAGAGGUAAAAGAGAAAUUGCCUGAAGAUGAGCUCGCGUCUGAUUAGCUAGUUGGUGAGGUAAAGGCCCACCAAGGCAGCGAUCAGUAGCUGGUCUGAGAGGAUGACCAGCCACACUGGGACUGAGACACGGCCCAGACUCCUACGGGAGGCAGCAGUGGGGAAUUGUCCGCAAUGGGCGAAAGCCUGACGGAGCAAUACCGCGUGAGGGAAGAAGGCUCUUGGGUUGUAAACCUCUUUUCUUAGGGAAGAACAAAAUGACGGUACCUAAGGAAUCAGCAUCGGCUAACUCCGUG
rnacentral:rRNA from 1 species